rnacentral:rRNA from 1 species
CGGUUAACGGAGCGAAAGCGACGUUCAACCUCAAAAGAAGCAGAGGGGGCUUAGUGGUGGGGUGACUGCGUACCUUUUGUAUAAUGGGUCAGCGACUUAUAUUCUGUAGCAAGGUUAACCGUAUAGGGGAGCCGCAGGGAAACCGAGUCUUAACCGGGCGUUAAGUUGCAGGGUAUAGACCCGAAACCCGGUGAUCUAGCCAUGGGCAGGUUGAAGGUUGGGUAACACUAACUGGAGGACCGAACCGACUAAUGUUGAAAAAUUAGCGGAUGACCUGUGGCUGGGGGUGAAAGGCCAAUCAAACCGGGAGAUAGCUGGUUCUCCCCGAAAGCUAUUUAGGUAGCGCCUCGUGAACUCAUCUCCGGGGGUAGAGCACUGUUUCGGCUAGGGGGCCAUCCCGGCUUACCAACCCGAUGCAAACUGCGAAUACCGGAGAAUGUUAUCACGGGAGACACACGGCGGGUGCUAACGUCCGUCGUGAAGAGGGAAACAACCCAGACCGCCAGCUAAGGUCCCAAAGUCAUGGUUAAGUGGGAAACGAUGUGGGAAGGCCCAGACAGCCAGGAUGUUGGCUUAGAAGCAGCCAUCAUUUAAAGAAAGCGUAAUAGCUCACUGGUCGAGUCGGCCUGCGCGGAAGAUGUAACGGGGCUAAACCAUGCACCGAAGCUGCGGCAGCGACACUAUGUGUUGUUGGGUAGGGGAGCGUUCUGUAAGCCUGUGAAGGUGGCCUGUGAGGGUUGCUGGAGGUAUCAGAAGUGCGAAUGCUGACAUAAGUAACGAUAAAGCGGGUGAAAAGCCCGCUCGCCGGAAGACCAAGGGUUCCUGUCCAACGUUAAUCGGGGCAGGGUGAGUCGACCCCUAAGGCGAGGCCGAAAGGCGUAGUCGAUGGGAAACGGGUUAAUAUUCCCGUACUUGGUGUUACUGCGAAGGGGGGACGGAGAAGGCUAUGUUGGCCGGGCGACGGUUGUCCCGGUUUAAGCGUGUAGGUGUGUGUUCCAGGUAAAUCCGGUUCACUUUAACACUGAGGCGUGAUGACGAGGCACUACGGUGCUGAAGCAACAAAUGCCCUGCUUCCAGGAAAAGCCUCUAAGCAUCAGGUAACAUCAAAUCGUACCCCAAACCGACACAGGUGGUCAGGUAGAGAAUACCAAGGCGCUUGAGAGAACUCGGGUGAAGGAACUAGGCAAAAUGGUGCCGUAACUUCGGGAGAAGGCACGCUGACAUGUAGGUGAAGUGAUUUACUCAUGGAGCUGAAGUCAGUCGAAGAUACCAGCUGGCUGCAACUGUUUAUUAAAAACACAGCACUGUGCAAACACGAAAGUGGACGUAUACGGUGUGACGCCUGCCCGGUGCCGGAAGGUUAAUUGAUGGGGUCAGCGCAAGCGAAGCUCCUGAUCGAAGCCCCGGUAAACGGCGGCCGUAACUAUAACGGUCCUAAGGUAGCGAAAUUCCUUGUCGGGUAAGUUCCGACCUGCACGAAUGGCGUAAUGAUGGCCAGGCUGUCUCCACCCGAGACUCAGUGAAAUUGAACUCGCUGUGAAGAUGCAGUGUACCCGCGGCAAGACGGAAAGACCCCGUGAACCUUUACUAUAGCUUGACACUGAACAUUGAGCCUUGAUGUGUAGGAUAGGUGGGAGGCUUUGAAGUGUGGACGCCAGUCUGCAUGGAGCCGACCUUGAAAUACCACCCUUUAAUGUUUGAUGUUCUAACGUGGACCCGUAAUCCGGGUUGCGGACAGUGUCUGGUGGGUAGUUUGACUGGGGCGGUCUCCUCCUAAAGAGUAACGGAGGAGCACGAAGGUUGGCUAAUCCUGGUCGGACAUCAGGAGGUUAGUGCAAUGGCAUAAGCCAGCUUGACUGCGAGCGUGACGGCGCGAGCAGGUGCGAAAGCAGGUCAUAGUGAUCCGGUGGUUCUGAAUGGAAGGGCCAUCGCUCAACGGAUAAAAGGUACUCCGGGGAUAACAGGCUGAUACCGCCCAAGAGUUCAUAUCGACGGCGGUGUUUGGCACCUCGAUGUCGGCUCAUCACAUCCUGGGGCUGAAGUAGGUCCCAAGGGUAUGGCUGUUCGCCAUUUAAAGUGGUACGCGAGCUGGGUUUAGAACGUCGUGAGACAGUUCGGUCCCUAUCUGCCGUGGGCGCUGGAGAACUGAGGGGGGCUGCUCCUAGUACGAGAGGACCGGAGUGGACGCAUCACUGGUGUUCGGGUUGUCAUGCCAAUGGCACUGCCCGGUAGCUAAAUGCGGAAGAGAUAAGUGCUGAAAGCAUCUAAGCACGAAACUUGCCCCGA